rnacentral:rRNA from 1 species
ACUGCAGGCUGCAACUCGCCUGCACGAAGUCGGAAUUGCUAGUAAUCGUAGGUCAGCAUACUACAGUGAAUACGUUCCCGGGCCUUGUACACACCGCCCGUCAAACCAUGAGAGUUGGCAACACCCGAAGUCGGUAGUCUAACCGCAAGGAGGACGCCGCCGAAGGUGGGGUUGAUGAUUGGGUUAAGUCGUAACAAGGUACC